rnacentral:rRNA from 1 species
AUGCGUCGCCGUCUCCCCUCCAGAUCUGGCCGCCAACGACGCCCUCUACAGCGGUCAAGGUCGAGGGGGCGCGCCAUCCUUCUAGCGUGGUGGGCGACCGGGGGAAGGUCGACAAGGAAUAGGAGCCCAGUGGCACGCCAUGUCUCACAGCCACUAUUGGAUCGGAAGGGGAUGAAAAGGAGAAAGAGGACACCCCUGGUGGCGCAGGCAUCCAACGUCCCGGACAACGUCCUCCGCGACGUCCUUCUCCAUGCCCGAAUCCACUGCUCUUCAAGCUACGUUGCCUGCAACUACAAGGUGAGCCUCUCACAUCCAUUGGCCAACAUUGACGUAUGGCACUUCUGA